GAGGAGUCCAGUGAUCUGCAGAGGAACAGAAAGAAGAAAAACAGAAACGAUCAAAAACGAUCGGCUCUGAUCGGCGGAUACGACCUUUUCAAAGCCGUUGCGGAUGCGUUGGAAAUUGGGGGGUGAGUGUUUCUACUUACCUUCAUUUCUGCAGAGGAGAGCAUCUACUGCUGUUCAUGUCAUCAUGUUUGGUGUGUGUUUGGGAUUUCAUGUGUUCAUCCUGUUAUUUGAGCUGCUGCAGUUGGUAGUCUUUCAUGUUUUUCUUGUCCGGCUCUUACAUUAAUUUGUCCGACUCUGUGCCGCUGUAAUUAACUCGCUGCCGUCUUAAGUCUUCAUGUGCGGUCUCAUGGUGCUUUUGCAGGUAUUGCAUAACAUUCUCUAACUCUGGUUGUCAUGCAGUUUUUGUGUGCUGCAGGCCUUCACCCUCCGCUGAGGACAAACAUGAAGGACGAACACCAUGUUCCCUGCAGAGGAAAACCCCCCUGCCUGCCUCAAGAGGGCGCUAAUCCUGUUGUACUGCUGAUGUGUGUGUGUGAGAGUGUGUGUGUGUGUGUUUUGAAGGCCAGAAAGGACCCAUGGGACUCUCCAGUUGCAGGCCUGCAGACUGGCUGGCACCCUCAAAGUAGCUUCUUCAUCCUGGAGACAGCUGUUGUCUCCGUGACGACACGAUCGGCCAAUGAGGGAGUGGGUGGGCAGGCUGCAUGGGGAGGAGGGUUGUUGGCCUAUGUUAGAGUGUGUGUGUUACUGUGUGUUUCAGUGUGUGUGUGUGUGUGUGUGUGUGUAACUUUGGUCAUAUCAGGUGGCACGGAUCAUGUAAAGUCACUCGAACUUGUAAAUAAAUACACAGAAAAAUAACGAAGCUGCAGAUUCAAAUAUGAGGAGCAGGAAACGCAACUUGUGUUUGCAUGUGUGUGUUGAAACAUGUGUAUGUGUGUGUGUGUUGCAGUCCAGUUGGCUGGCUGCAGUAAACACCAUUCCUCUGGUCCCCCUGUGGCAGAAGAAAAGACUCCAUAUAGCUCCAACAACGAGGAAACAUAAUUCGGGGUCUGAUCGUGCAGUUAGCAGCUGGACGUGUAAAGAGUCUGCGGGGACGAGACGCUGCGUUCACUGAAACAGUGUUCGCUUACAGCCAGCGUGCGGCCCUGACCACGGCUGAACUGGACUCUUUGUGUGAAUGUGUACAAACAAACUGAGCUGCCCCACGUCCACGGAGACCUGAGAUCCCGAUCAGGGACCUGAGGCUUCGGGUCUGCAGAUAUCCUUUUAAAGUCGGGCUGUAAACAUGAUCACAAUCAAUGCACUGUGAUUAAUGUCCAAAACUGCUAUUAUUUUAUCAAUCACAUGCUGUUUUAACCUCAUACACUUAUGGAGCGCUCACACUUAGCGACGAAAAUCAUCUAAUCGCUUCAUGUGAAUCUAGACGCGUGAAUGAAUAGUAUUCACUCGCUUUAUCUGCGCGUCAACAGUAAUUUCAACAUUAAUUCCUGCCAAUUCAACUGGUGCCC